rnacentral:rRNA from 1 species
UACAGAGGAGCCAAGCGUUGUCCGGAUUGACUGGGCGUAAAGCGUGCGCAGGCGGCUUUGCAAGACAGAUGUGAAAUCCCCGGGCUUAACCUGGGAACUGCAUUUGUGACUGCAUGGCUGGAGUGCGGCAGAGGGGGAUGGAAUUCCGCGUGUAGCAGUGAAAUGCGUAGAUAUGCGGAGGAACACCGAUGGCGAAGGCAAUCCCCUGGGCCUGCACUGACGCUCAUGCACGAAAGCGUGGGGAGCAAACAGG